CGUAAUGUAGCUUAAUUAAAGCAUCUCGCUUACACCGAGAAAAUGUCUGUGAAAAUCAGAUCUUUAUGA
rnacentral:tRNA from 1 species